CUCAGAACAGAGGAGGUAUGUAAUAUUGAUAAUUCACAAAAAGUACAAAAGACUCAUGAUAAUAUUAAAUGUAUGCUUACUAAUGCAAGGAGCCUAUAUAACAAAAUGGGGGAACUAGAGGCAAUAGCAUGCACUAAACAAUAUGAUAUAAUAGGCAUAACAGAAACAUGGUGGGAUGAGACACAUGACUGGGCAGUUAAUUUAAAUGGGUACACGUUAUUUAGGAAG